GCAAAACGCGAAGAACCUUACCAGGUCUUGACAUCCCAUUGACCACUAUGGAGACAUAGUUUUCCCUUCGGGGACAACGGUGACAGGUGGUGCAUGGUUGUCGUCAGCUCGUGUCGUGAGAUGUUGGGUUAAGUCCCGCAACGAGCGCAACCCUUGUUCUUAGUUGCCAUCAUUUAGUUGGGCACUCUAAGGAGACUGCCGGUGACAAACCGGAGGAAGGUGGGGAUGACGUCAAAUCAUCAUGCCCCUUAUGACCUGGGCUACACACGUGCUACAAUGGACGGUACAAACGGUUGCCAACCCGCGAGGGGGAGCUAAUCCGAUAAAACCGUUCUCAGUUCGGAUUGUAGGCUGCAACUCGCCUACAUGAAGCCGGAAUCGCUAGUAAUCGCGGAUCAGCAUGCCGCGGUGAAUACGUUCCCGGGUCUUGUACACACCG
rnacentral:rRNA from 1 species